CCAUUUUGUCUGAGCGGUGGUGGUCGUAGCUCUAUCGCAUUUUUAUGUUUCUGGCGAGAGGAGAGCCGAGGCUUUAUCCCAUAGAUUCAUUUUAGUGCGGCACCUAUCCGCCGUUCACUCCAGGACAGCACCUAGUGAAGGUCGGAGGAGUCGCGGACUUGUCAAAAAGGUCGGUUGGAAGCUGUGGUUGUCCGAGUGACUGGGGGAUGGCGCAGCUUUAGCGGCACCGGCACCGGAAGUGGACGGGCCGCACGGCGGCCAUGGCAAAUUGGUCUGAAGAAAACAAGACUUUCAGUGACAUAUCCUAAGUAUUACUGAGUUGUUAGGCUCUUUAUUUGAGACUCCACUCCCAGAGGGCAGCAACUGAGGUUUUUAUCACUGUUAUGUUUCCCUACCUGAUACAUGAAUAAACCUCAUUUUGUGGGAAAAUGAAGGAAUAUGUUCCAGUUUUAAAAGACCUGGAUCUGCUAUCGAAAAUUGUAUUUCUGAGUACAACCUGGCUUCUUCAAUCAGAAGAGCAUGUGACUCGAUCUCAGGAUGGUCCCUUUAUGAAUGAUGGAAAUAGAAGCAAAUGGAUAGGCUUAUCAGAUAAGUGCUUUAAUAUUCUAAAUAUAUUUUUAUUAUUUGU